GAUAUCCGCACAUUAUUAUUG
rnacentral:miRNA from 1 species